rnacentral:lncRNA from 1 species
UUGGCAAACUUAAUAUCUGAGAUUGAGGCAAUUAUCUCUGUGAAGAAGGACCUUGAACCAGGCACCUCUUGUUCCUCAAACCUGGCCACCAGAGAGCACAAUGUAUAUAUUCAAAAGAAAAGGAAAAAAAGUAAAUCAAUAAAAGAGAUCUAAAACGUCUCAUGAUACAUCCAUAACUCCAUGACGUUAGAGAAUACAUGAAAAAUCAACAAAAGAAAACCAUGUAGACAAAAAACCUAAAGUACUUACAAUUUGCUAUGAGAAUCGCAUAGAGCUGACUGUCGCAUGUCAACUAAACGAAUUGAGCCCCUUGAACUACUAUAUGCCAGAAUAUUGCAAUGAGUAGGAUGAAAUUCUGCUG